rnacentral:lncRNA from 1 species
GGAUGAUGCUUCUGCUUCUCCCUGCUAUCACCAUGGAUUGUAACCAGGAGUGCAUCUUUCUCCUGAGCCUCACUCCCGCUUCUUCCACGAUGCUUAGACUCUGAAGCAAGGACUCCUCCUUGGCAAGCUGUGUUCAGUAUCUCAUCUCCAGGACAUCUGAGGAUUGUCACCAGGAAAGAUGAGCCACUUUCUGGAAUCCUGUUCCCAGCUGUAGGCUGUUCUGCAGCCCUGGCGUGGCUC